GUGCUGAGAUUUCGUCACACACCAAACCACAAGGGCUGAUGAGACUUCCAAGAUAAGUGAAGCG
rnacentral:pre_miRNA from 1 species